rnacentral:lncRNA from 1 species
UGGGUUAUUGUUGAAGGUCGUACGAUGACGUAUGGUUGUUAACACAUACUUCCUUUGGUUUCUUAUGGAAAUUUGUCCAUUGACAACAAACAUACCACAUCAUCUACAUUAUAUUAAGUAUUGUAUAAAUUACAACGUAUUUUGGUGAUCUUGCAAAAUGAUCGUAAUCCCGAAAAUCGUAAACAUAUUUUCUUAUCUUAAAAGGGGGCAAGAAGGGUUCCAUUAACAGGCCAAUAAAUAAGAUUACAGUUAAUUUCAUUUUUUUUUUUUAAAUAGGGGUAUUUUUUCUCUCAUAAUAACAGUAAACAGAUUCACAACAAUGUCAAUUUCAAGAAAGCAGACAACAGCUAAUUAGUCAACAACAGUACAGCAUCAAUGCUCUUGAAUAUAUGCCACUUUUAACUAAAAUAUAAAAGCACAGAACCAGGACAUAGGAGCACAGAACCAGGACCGUUUUUCUUAUCACCAGCACAGCGUCAGGACAAUUCCGUUUAACGAACUUGCACGACUUUUGCAAUAUAAUAUUGUUGUAAUAUACUUUGCAUGGUACUUAUGACACAUCAGAGAAAAAUUAAGCAACAAAACAGUCGUUUUAUUGCCGUUCUGAUACAAUGUAAACAAACCCACCAGCACAGAAUCAGGACCCACCAGCACCCGUCAGGACCAAAUCACCAGCACAGUACGUUCUCUCGCAGGACAACCAUACCCACCGUGGUUU